rnacentral:rRNA from 1 species
UACGUAGGGUGCGAGCGUUAAUCGGAAUUACUGGGCGUAAAGGGUGCGUAGGCGGCGCGGAAAGUUGGGUGUGAAAUCCCUCGGCUUAACCGAGGAACUGCGCCCAAAACUACCGUGCUUGAGGGAGAUAGAGGUGAGCGGAACUUAGGGUGGAGCGGUGAAAUGCGUUGAUAUCCUAAGGAACACCGGUGGCGAAAGCGGCUCACUGGAUCUCUUCUGACGCUGAGGCACGAAAGCUAGGGUAGCAAACGGG